GGGCCAAAAAGGUUAGUUACCCGCGGUUUUCCCCCCUAUAAAACAUGAGUGUUUAAAGUUUAGGGGUUUUCCCCCCUUUUAUUUUUGCGAUAAACCUCUACCCAUUCCAUGGGGGGUUUCGGGUUCAGGGUUGAACUUCAAAGGUAUUUUUUGGGGCCGCCCACCCGGGUUUGCAAGCGGAAAAAAUUAGACACUAUGGCAGCCUAAGAGUUUGAUCCUGGCUCAGGACGAACGCUGGCGGCGUGCCUAAUACAUGCAAGUCGAGCGAACAGAGAAGGAGCUUGCUCCUUCGACGUUAGCGGCGGACGGGUGAGUAACACGUGGGCAACCUACCUUAUAGUUUGGGAUAACUCCGGGAAACCGGGGCUAAUACCGAAUAAUCUAUUUUACUUCAUGGUGAAAUACUGAAAGACGGUUUCGGCUGUCGCUAUAAGAUGGGCCCGCGGCGCAUUAGCUAGUUGGUGAGGUAACGGCUCACCAAGGCGACGAUGCGUAGCCGACCUGAGAGGGUGAUCGGCCACACUGGGACUGAGACACGGCCCAGACUCCUACGGGAGGCAGCAGUAGGGAAUCUUCCACAAUGGGCGAAAGCCUGAUGGAGCAACGCCGCGUGAGUGAAGAAGGUUUUCGGAUCGUAAAACUCUGUUGUAAGGGAAGAACAAGUACAGUAGUAACUGGCUGUACCUUGACGGUACCUUAUUAGAAAGCCACGGCUAACUACGUGCCAGCAGCCGCGGUAAUACGUAGGUGGCAAGCGUUGUCCGGAAUUAUUGGGCGUAAAGCGCGCGCAGGCGGUCCUUUAAGUCUGAUGUGAAAGCCCACGGCUCAACCGUGGAGGGUCAUUGGAAACUGGGGGACUUGAGUGCAGAAGAGGAAAGUGGAAUUCCAAGUGUAGCGGUGAAAUGCGUAGAGAUUUGGAGGAACACCAGUGGCGAAGGCGACUUUCUGGUCUGUAACUGACGCUGAGGCGCGAAAGCGUGGGGAGCAAACAGGAUUAGAUACCCUGGUAGUCCACGCCGUAAACGAUGAGUGCUAAGUGUUAGGGGGUUUCCGCCCCUUAGUGCUGCAGCUAACGCAUUAAGCACUCCGCCUGGAGACGUCG
rnacentral:rRNA from 1 species